CUCAGAAAUCAGAGCACAGCUCAAACCUCUGUGAAACUCUUCUUCAAGCAGGGCUAUGCCUGGUGUUCCCUUUCUCUGCUCCAGGCUCUUUAAUGGAGGCAGGGCACCUUGUAACCCUUCUGCAGGAUGGAGCUAAAAAGCCUUACCUGUAAGCAUGAGAAAGCUGAGCAUCAGGCUCUCUGCAGAGGGCCCUGCAGCUGCUCUUAGCAUCUGUCAGAGCAGUAAACAUCCUUCAUGAGUGCUUUGAAGCUGAGAUUACUGAACAGUCACUUGUCCUUAGCUGCUGACACUAGAAAUACUGUUGGACACCAAAGAUUUGAGAUGAAAUCCUGAUGUGUCAGUGCCCUACCCAGCCUGGAAAGGACUAUACUUCCCUGCAUCUCUUCACAGGUAAGCACAUGGGGCAGGGGUCCUUCUCAGUCCCCAUCGUGCCACACUCUGCAGAGGAACCAUUAAGCUACUUCCCAAGUUCAGUGUACGAAGUGUUAAAGGGAGAGAAAUUGCAGACUUCCCCCUCUGCUUUCAGGAGCUUUCCAUC